ACAUGCCUACAACAUAGCAUUAAUUCACCAGAUCUCAUUAGAACUCCAUAAUUAAGCAUGCUCUAGCUAGAGUAGUACCUGGAAAGGUGAUCUCCCAAGAAGUCCUAGUGUUUUACAUGCU
rnacentral:rRNA from 1 species